AUAAAAUCAAGGUCCACAGAGAACAAUUUGGAAGCCCUUGAUUUAGAAAAGCUUGUGUUUUAUUCCCUUUUCAGAUUUCCUGAGAUUUCCUUCAACGUGGGAAAAUAGAGAAAGAUCUAUGAACCUGUGAGUCUGCAUGCUUGUUUUCCUGGGCAUAGACAUAGCUCAGAAGAAGACCAUGGAUAUGGACCAUGGAGAUGUGCAAUAAAGACUGCUGAGAGAAACUCAAAGUUUAGGUGAUGCUGUAAAGCAGACAAGCAAGCUUGAAAAGGAAUUUGGGAGCUGAGGAGGAGAGAAUUCAGUGAGAUAGUCCCUGUAAAUACAUUGUACAUUACCUGGACACAUGCAAUAGUUCUGAUACUGUAUUAUUAUUACCUGGCUAGCUCCGCUGGCAUCCUUAAGAAUCUUCACUAUGACACUGAUGGAACCACAGAGUCCAUGAGCCAGAUGCAACCUAGUGCAAAGUCUGGGGGAUGGAGAAAGUGUGGUGAAUGGAGCUUGUUCCCUCAACAUUAAUGAAUCCAUAGUUUUAGACUGUCUCCAAAAUAGGAGCAUAUAUUCACAUCCAUCAAGACCACCUAAUCUCAUCUGAGCUGCCAGAAUGACAAACGCUGCAUGAAUGACCCCAGACUAGACCAACAGAAGACCAUUCACUUCAACCUACCUCAAACUGCUUAUCCACGGAAUUAUGAGUAAACAAAAUGGUUGUUUUGAAUCACUGGGUUUGUUAUACAAAAAAUAGAUUAGUAAUAUAAUUUGUUAAACAGAAAUUAAUGAGUGUUUAAUAUGGGAAGCCUUGGACAUCUCAAAAAUAUUUGAAAGGCAAUUUAGCUCUAGUUUAAAUCUCUCAAGUUUUUGUUAUGAACCCUUUAUCAAUGUAGGUCCAUUGUUGUCAGAUAUGUAUUCUGAAUUUUUUCUGCCACUCCUUUGUUUAUGCAGACAUUAAGCAUGGGGAUGCCUUUUCUUGUUUCUUAGCCUGCCCAUAGCAAGCAGCUGUUCAAAAUCAACCUCCUUGUGGACGCCUGGGUGGCUCAGAGGUUGAGCGUCUGCCUUAGGCUCAGGGCGUGACCCCGGGGCCAGGGAUUGAGCGCCAAAUCAGGCUCCCUGCAUGGAGCCUGCUUCUCCCUCUGCCUGUGUCUCUGCCUCUCUCUCUCUCUCUGUCUCUCCCUGUGUGUCUCUCAUGAAUAAAUAAAUAAAAUCUUAAAAAAAAGAUUUUAAAAAACAAAAAACAAAAUCAACCUCCUUCACAAUGUUUACCCUGAUCAGUCUGAUUUUUUCAUCCACUAAACUUAUACAAUCAUGAAUAGAUUCUACAUAUUUCAUGCUUAGUCAAUCAAUUCAAAAGUCUUAACCUCUAGUCUAGACUCUAAGUCAAUCAAUUCAGAAGUCUUAACCUCUAGUCUAGACUCUAAGCUUCUUGCAGGAGAGAUGAUACCUGCACCUAGUAUUGUAUCUUUCACAUGAUUCAAUAUGGGUGAAGCUCUACCCAAAAACGUAGGUAUCCCAAUGAUCUACUAUCUACUGUUGGUUAAGUUAAUACAUGGUAGGAGGGAAAGAGCCAAGGAAACAAUGAAACAUUCUUAGUCCCUGGAUAUUUUCCUUUUGGCUAUGCAUCUGUGUUCACUACUUUUUAUGACCAUUAGCUUUAUAGAUUCCAAAUGAUUUUAUUAGUGGUGGAGAAAUAUCAAGGGAGUAUUAUCAUUAGAAUCAGUGUGAAGUAUUGUUGCUGUGCUGAAUGUAGUUGCAAGAGUUAUAGUAGAGUUUGAAAAGGAGAUGGCAGGGGUGCUGCCCCAGCAUAAUGAAGUGAAUAAGGGCAAAAGACCUUCAAUACAUUUGUCGUACUGAAUUCCACUGAAUUAGCCUCAUCUCCACUUUCUUAUUUUUCUUCCUUUCUUCCUUACUACAGCAUACUUGGGGAGCAGAUUGAAACUCUGAUCCUCAUUAUAGUCAGUAAGAUCAACCCUACAUAGAAGGAUUUCUUUUCACUUUAGUGAUACUAUCUUUUGAACUUCAAGAAGGUCAGAUUUCAGGGAUAUUACAUUUCUGGUGAAUGAGCCUUUAUGGUCAGUGAUAAUUUUAAAACCCACUCCCUAGUGGAGAAUCACUGGCAGCUAGUACUGGGACUCAACGGGGUCUCUAAGAAGAUCUAAGUAACACAAGCAUAAAAAUGCAAGUGAAAUGUCAGUCUACACUUUCCUCUAUGGAAUAUAAGGCAAAAUCUAGAAACAUUCACAAGGCUGACCUAGCAGAGAAUCUGAAAGCAAAGACAAUUUCUUUGGACAAUUAAUCCAGAGGUUGAAAUGGAUGCCUCUUGGAAUAAGAACUAAAGGAUCUUCUUUCACACUUUCUCCAUUUCAAGUUUAAGGAUUCAAAGGUGGUGACUGGCUAAGAGUCAAAGCUUUAUUGCCAAACUAGUCUAAAUCAAGAUGUCAUAACUAGCUGUGUGAUUAUGAAUAGGUUACUUAGCUUUUAUUAGUAUUUAUCUUAUAAUUUAUUUUUUAUCUGUAAACUUAGCCCAUAUAUGCUAUAACCUAUAGAUUGCUUUACACUUUCAUGAUAAAUAAGAGUCAUGCAAAAAAUGUUAAUUUUUAUUAUGCAAUGUGGCUAACUUGGUCUUACAUUGGUUAAGAAAAUCCUUUUGCAUUAGCAGCUUAGGUCAGAACUCCAGAAGUUGACUUUAGACAAAGCUGUAUUUAGAAGUGAUUUGUUAUGAAAUUGCUCCCAGAAAAGACCAGUAAAGGAGUGAGGGAAGCUUAAUAGGGAACACAAAGAAACUAAAUGAGGAUGGGGAAAUCUCACAUGAAUUCCCAGCUUAGCCCGACUCCAAGAGGAGCUUCAUAAUUUGUCCUACCUAUGAUGAGGGAAUUGGGAUUUCACAGUUCAGCACCAAGCAGUCAUCAGUAAAGGUUCUCUCUGGCAAAUAUAGACUCUUAGCUCUUCUGGCUAUAGUGUGCAGGCAAAAUGGUUUGAGUAGUUUAAGAAUGUUUAUCCAAUAAGAGGCACAUGGGUGCUUCUUUAUUAGAAGCAAAACACACAGAAUGAGGGUGAAGAAUGAUGGAAAAGUGCUGAAUAGUCUCAGGAAAGAAGAUGAAUUUAUUUACAUGGUAUAUAUCCUUUUUACCAUGUACUAGUUGUAUUUUAAAAACUUAAUGAGAGAUGACAAGGCUCUACUUUCAAAUGAAUAUAUUACACUGGUCAAUGUGAAAUAUUUCCGACUCAACUUUGCUUCCAUGUGAAUGCACCCAUAUGGAUGAAUACAUUUUGAAUUAUCUGACCUUUUCUGUUCAGAUUUUCAGAACAGUACUAACCAACACAUGACAGAAUCACUUUCAUUUCUAACUCUUCAUUUUAAUUCUAAUUGACUUUAGAAUAGAACCACCCAGAAGAAGACACUUGGGUACCCAAUGAUCCAGAGUAUAAGCAUGUAGCCAAGAGUUUCUGUGACUCCUCAGGGGAGUUGCAGGGAAAGAAUGAAGCAUAUGUCCUCUUUCAAGGCUCUGCUCUGGCUAGGUGUGUGAUACCUGAGCAACUUGCUCAGUUUCUUCAAUAAUAGUGACAAUCAUUAUUGGAAACAACCUACCACAUGUCAUGUUCUUACCUUGCACUAGGAAUUUUGCUAAGUGCUUUACACAUGUAGAAUUUAGGAUUCAAGUAAAGCAAUGAUAUAGAUAUGAUUAUGAUUUUAUGAAUGAGGAGGUGAGCCUUACUGAUUGGUACUGAAAUAGGGAAGCUCAGCUCAUUUUCUCUGAAGGUAACACAAACUCUGGAGUGCAAUUUAUACUCCAGAGCUUCCUUUGGGAUCAGCUGAAGUUGGGAAUUUACCUGAACACUCUCCAUCAUCAUUUGGCUUCUUCCUUUUUGACCAGCUUCCCUCAUUCCUUCAUCAGUCUUUUCUGAUAGCAAUUCCUUAAAAAAUCAUUGCAUUGGAGUAGUUUGGUGGCUCAGUCAGUUGGAUAUCUAACUCUCGGUUUCAGCUCAGGUCAUGAUCUCAGGGUCAUGGGAUUGAGCCCUG